rnacentral:rRNA from 1 species
AGUGAACGCUGGCGGUAGGCCUAACACAUGCAAGUCGAACGGCAGCACAGUAAGAGCUUGCUCUUACGGGUGGCGAGUGGCGGACGGGUGAGAAAUACAUCGGAAUCUACUUUUUCGUGGGGGAUAACGUAGGGAAACUUACGCUAAUACCGCAUACGACCUACGGGUGAAAGCAGGGGAUCUUCGGACCUUGCGCGAUUGAAUGAGACGAUGUCGGAUUAGCUAGUUGGCGGGGUAAAGGCCCACCAAGGCGACGAUCCGUAGCUGGUCUGAGAGGAUGAUCAGCCACACUGGAACUGAGACACGGUCCAGACUCCUAAGGGAGGCAGCAGUUGGGAAUAUUGGACAAUGGGCGCAAGCCUGAUCCAGCCAUACCGCGUGGGUGAAGAAGGCCUUCGGGUUGUAAAGCCCUUUUGUUGGGAAAGAAAAGCAGCAGGUUAAUACCCCGCUGUUCUGACGGUACCCAAAGAAUAAGCACCGGCUAACUUCGUG